rnacentral:rRNA from 1 species
UAGCAAUACAAGGCAGACGGCUCAGUAACGCGUAGUCAACCUACCUUAUGGACGGGGAUAACCUCGGGAAACUGAGAAUAAUACCCGAUAGAACAUUAUGCCUGGAAUGGUUUAUGUUUCAAAUAAUUUAUUGCCGUAAGAUGGGACUGCGGCCUAUCAGUUUGUUGGUGAGGUAAUGGCCCACCAAGACUAUUACAGGUACGGGCUCUGAGAGGAGUAGCCCGGAGAUGGGUACUGAGACACGGACCCAGGCCCUAUGGGGCGCAGCAGGCGAGAAAACUUUGCAAUGUGCGAAAGCACGACAAGGUUAAUCCGAGUGGUUUCUGCUAAAGGAACCUUUUGUCAGUCCUAGAAACACUAACGAAUAAGGGGUGGGCAAGUUCUGGUGUCAGCCGCCGCGGUAAAACCAGCACCUCAAGUGGUCAGGAUGAUUAUUGGGCCUAAAGCAUCCGUAGCCUGCUUUGUCAGUUUUCGGUUAAAUCCAUAUGCUCAACGUAUGGGCUGCCGGGAAUACUGCAAAGCUAGGGAGUGGGAGAGGUAGACGGUACUCGGUAGGAAGGGGUAAAAUCCUUUGAUCUAUUGAUGACCACCUGUGGCGAAGGCGGUCUACCAGAACACGUCCGACGGUGAGGGAUGAAAGCUGGGGGAGCAAACCGGAUUAGAUACCCGGGUAGUCCCAGCUGUAAACUAUGCAAACUCGGUGAUGCAUUGGCUUGAUGCCAAUGCAGUGCCGCA